rnacentral:rRNA from 1 species
AGCAGCCGCGGUAAUUCCAGCUCCAAUAGCGUAUAUUAAAGUUGUUGCAGUUAAAAAGCUCGUAGUUGAAUUUUAGUCCUGGCCGGGCGGUCCGUCUUUGGCGAGUACUGUCCUGUGUCGGGUCUUCCUUCUGGUGAACCAGUAUGUCCUUUAUUGGGUGUGCCGGGGAGCCAGGACCAUUACCUUGAAAAAAUUAGAGUGUUUAAAGCGGGCAUUUGCUUGAAUAGAUUAGCAUGGAAUAAUAGAAUAGGACGUUGUGGUUCUAUUUUGUUGGUUUCUAGGACCACCGUAAUGAUUAAUAGGGAUAGUUGGG